AAUACGUUCCCGGGCCUUGUACACACCGCCCGUCAAGCCAUGGGAGUCGGGGGUAUCUAAAGUCGAUAACCGCAAGGAGUCGCCUAGGAUAAAACCAAUGACUGGGGCU
rnacentral:rRNA from 1 species